AGGCACGAUUGAGCUGUCCUCCUCCUCUUCCGGCACACGUUUCUGUUGAAAAAUAUUUCAUUAGACUCUUAUUUGUUUCAGGUUUUUCAUCAUCAAAUCAUACGAGAGAGAGAGAGAGAGAGAGAACUUGCUCAACAGAUUCACUACUCAAAACUGAAAGCUUGUACGAGUGAGAGAGAGCAUACAAGGGGGCGUGUGCAAUUGGAGCGUGCUGUACUCAACUCCCCAGAGGUUUACCAGCAGCACAACGCUGACAUUUGAUUGUAACAUUUUCUCACCUCACAACUCGGUUUCCGGUCUCAUAAGCAGUUGUGCUCUUGUGAGGGAAACAUACCUG